UGGUGGAGUGAUUUGUCUGGUUGAUUCCGAUAACGAACGAGACGAGCGUAUUUUGCUGGUUGCUUUGUUUCUCACGAAACUCACAACCUCCCAAAUAGACAACUCAUUUCUAAUGAGAGGAAGCCGCUCGCAAUAACA
rnacentral:rRNA from 1 species